AGUUCACCCCGGUCCUGGUCUGGCACCUCAUUGCUGGGGAGGUCUCGGCAGUCCAGAGGAGGUAGCCCCCACCCUGGGCAUCCAUCCGCCCAGGCCCCAGCCUCCGCGGGAAGACCCAAUUACAGAAGAGAGAAGUAUGUGGAGACCCUUGGCUGAGGUUGGGGGUCCUGGAAGCUGGAGGAAUGGCAGACUCUGGACAUGCUCCUAGAGAUGGGAGGUCAAAAUGAUCAACGUUCAGGGUCCCUUCAUCUCAGAGGGUCUCGAGUCACCUCAUUUAAAGUGUGGCCUGGGACACCUCCUAUCCAGCCAUACGCCGCCCAGGACUGGCUCAACAGCUCCACCCUCCACUGCUGUUCACCCAUGACACGUCACUUCCCACCCGCCACUGCUGGCUCACCUGUGACACCCCAGGCAGCUCAGAUGCCCGGCAGGUCCUGCUGGUGUGUGUUAGCCGGGGUCUCCAAAGAACCAGAGCCAGCAGGGGACACACCCAUCUCUGUAUCUGGAGAAAAAGAUCGAUGAGAAGGAAUCUGCUCCUGUGAUGAUGGAGGCUGACAAGUCCCGAGAGCCACGGUUGGCACCCUGGAGACCCCUGAGGGUGAUACCACCACUCCAGGCUGAAAGCUGGCAGGCUUGAGACCCUGGGAGAGCUGGCCCUCUGACUCCUGGGACUUCUUAUUCUAUCCUAGUAUUUCCUCAGCUGAGUGCAUGGGGCCAGACCACACUGGGGAGGGCAGUCAGCGUCACUCAGAGCACCGGGUCAUCUCAUGCAGAAACACCCUCAAAGAAAUAGCCCAAAUUAUGCUGACCAAAUAUCUGGGCACCCCGUGCCCCAGACAAGUUGACACAGAAAAUUAACCAUCACAGGUUAACUCCAUCCAGGAGUGGAAUUGCUGGGUCAUAGAGAAGGCAUAGGAAUUCACAGAAAUCACCAAACGGUUUUCAGGCGGUUGUGCCAUGUUAAACUCCCACUGGAAAGAGAGGAGAGCUGUGAUUGUUCCACGUCCUCAGCAACGUUUAGAAUAGGCAGUCUUUGGCCGGGCCGGGCACAGAGGCUCAAACCUGUAACCCCAGCACUUUGGGAGGCCAUAGUGGGUGGAUUACCUGAGAUCAAGAGUUCAAGACCAGCCUGGCCAACAUGGUUAAACCCCGUCUCUAUUAAAAAUGCAAAAAUUA
rnacentral:lncRNA from 1 species